rnacentral:rRNA from 1 species
UACGUAGGGUGCAAGCGUUGUCCGGAAUUAUUGGGCGUAAAGAGCUCGUAGGCGGCUUGUUACGUCGACUGUGAAAACCCGCGGCUCAACCGUGUGGUCUGCAGUCGAUACGGGCAGGCUAGAGUUCGGUAGGGGAGACUGGAAUUCCUGGUGUAGUGGUGAAAUGCGUAGAUAUCGGGAGGAACACCAGUGGCGAAGGCGACUACCUGGCCUGUUCUUGACGCUGAGGCGCGAAAGCUAGGGGAGCAAACGGG